GGGUGAGUAACACGUAUGUAACCUGCCCUCUGCAGGGGGAUAAGCGGAAGAAAUUCCGUCUAAUACCGCAUAAUACAAUUUGGAGACAUCUCCGGGUUGUCAAAGGAGUGAUCCGGCAGAGGAUGGACAUGCGGCGCAUUAGCUAGUCGGCGGGGUAACGGCCCACCGAGGCUACGAUGCGUAGGGGUUCUGAGAGGAAGGUCCCCCACACUGGUACUGAGACACGGACCAGACUCCUACGGGAGGCAGCAGUGAGGAAUAUUGGUCAAUGGGCGGAAGCCUGAACCAGCCAAGUCGCGUGAGGGAAGACGGUCCUAUGGAUUGUAAACCUCUUUUGCAGGGGAGCAAGGCGCGGUACGUGUACCGCGAAGGAGAGUACCCUGAGAAAAAGCAUCGGCUAACUCCGUGCCAGCAGCCGCGGUAAUACGGAGGAUGCGAGCGUUAUCCGGAUUUAUUGGGUUUAAAGGGUGCGCAGGCGGACUGUUAAGUCAGCGGUAAAAUGUCGGUGCUCAACACCGGCCGGCCGUUGAAACUGGCAGCCUUGAGUGAGCGAGAAGUAUGCGGAAUGCGUGGUGUAGCGGUGAAAUGCAUAGAUAUCACGCAGAACUCCGAUUGCGAAGGCAGCAUACCGGCGCUCAACUGACGCUCAGGCACGAAAGCGUGGGUAUCGAACAGGCUUAGAUACCCUGGUAGUCCACGCAGUAAACGAU
rnacentral:rRNA from 1 species